rnacentral:rRNA from 1 species
GACAGAGGGGGCAAGCGUUGUCCGGAUUGACUGGGCGUACAGCGCGCGCAGGCGGCUAGGUAUGUGCUUGGUGACAUCCCACGGCUCAACCGUGGGCGGCCCAGGUAGACAGCCUGGCUGGAGGACGAGAGAGGGUCGUGGAAUGCCCGGUGGAGCGGUGAAAUGCGUAGAGAUCGGGCGGAACACCAGCGGCGAAGGCGGCGACCUGGCUCGUUACUGACGCUGAGGCGCGAGAGCGUGGGGAGCGAACGGG